UAGGGCUCGUUUGGAUCCCUGUGUAAGGGCUCCGUAUUGUAUUAAAUUAUAAGAGUACCAUGUUUGGGUAGGACCUUGUAUUGUAAUAGAUAUUACAACCCCAAUUUUUAAUACAAUCUAUCCUGUAUUAUUCUAUGCUGAAUAAAAACAGUGUACAAGGCUGUAUUGUACUCUCCCUCUCACCCAAACUUCUUCAUUUUCCCGUUCAGCCAUCUUCGCCGAUUCUCUGGCCGAUUUGGCCUGGAUUUCUCGGUGAAGAGCAACUUCGUGUUCUCCGACAGAUCAAUCUCUCAGAUUCAUUUCUCAGUGAAAAGCAACUUCAUCUUCUCUAGCAUAUCAAUGUCUCAGAUUCAUUUGACCAGGUGUGUCGUCCGCUGCUAGCAAACGCUGCUCGAUUCUUCUCCGUACAACCUAGAAAGAGCCGAGGUUCUGCUAUUUUGCUCUAGGUGAGUUAUCAAUUAUGAUUCCAUGGUUGGUUAUCAAGACUCUAAUUAAUAAAUUACUUUACCAUUAGUGGGUUUGAAUUUGGCUAUACUGUUCUGCUCUUCUUCUUCUUCUUUUGUGUUACUUUCUUUUUCUUAUUUAUUAUUGAAUAAUGUUGAUGAUGGGAAUCCCUUUCGACUUUUCAAGUUUCUGUUUUUCUGUAUAUCGUGGAGGUGAAUUUGAUUGAAUAUUGAUUUUAUGCAUGGUUACUAUUUUGACUAAUCCAAAAUGUUCUGUAUUCAAUCAGGUUAGUCUUAAUUAGUUUUAGUCAUAUUUCUUUCAUUCGAAAAUUCAGAACCCACCAAACAAUGAUUUGUUUGUGAGCUUGUUAGAGUUAAAUGUUUUCGUACACCUUGAAUUUUAAGGCUUUACUUACUAUUUGAGUAGUUGAGUGGUUGGUGAAAUGAAAUUGAGAUAUGUCCUUAUGGAAAACCAACUUAAUUUUGCUAAUGAAAUACCACAAAUUGAGCUUCCAUUACCGCUCAGCUGCUCAACUAUUGAAAUUGUUGAAGAUGUUGUUGGCUUUUAAUUAAAUCGGCUUGUGAGGGCUAGAUAAGUUGAACUGGGUGGGUUGUUUAUUGUUUAUUGUUUACUUCAAACAAAAGGUGGGUUGGGUUGGGCAAUGCCCUGUCAGUAUUUGUCCCCAAAAGCUUUUUUUAGCUUUUGGUUAUGGUAAUUAGAGGUUAAGUUUGAUCAUUUAGAGGGUAAAAUGUUGUUCCCUGUAUUUAUUGUGAAGGGGCUUACCACUGGCUUUAUAGGAGAAUGAAUGGGGUUAUGAGAAAUAGGUUAAUGAUUCUUUGUUUUGAGAUGUGUGAUGAGAAAUUUGGUGUUAUACCAAUACCAAUACCAUUUUCCAAUGAAGAAGAGUUUAUAUUGGGAGAAUGGAAUGAAUCAGUUGCUCUGUUAAAUAUUUACCAGAUGUGGGUGAUGGUUGAUGAUGGUAUUCGUAUUAAAUGGAUAAUGUGUCUCAAAUUUGGGCCAUUGCCACCAUUGUAUUUUCCCAUGAAUUUUUGGAAGGAAGAUGAAAUUUUAUUGAAGAGCUAUAAAGAUGAAGAUGGGGUUGUUUCAUAUAAUAUUAGUACUAAACAACUUAGAAGAGUUUAUGUUCCUCGAAGGAUGUUUUACUGCACUCAUGCUAUUCCAUCUCUAAAAACUUUAUUUUCAUUCUAGAAUUGGGAAUUUGAAACUCUUUAUUAUUUUGUAUUAAGAGUUCUUUCUUUUAAGAUUUGUAUUUGUGGAGUUCAACUUGUAAUGUUCGAUUUCAACAUUUUUAUAUCAAUUUGAAAUCAUGAGGAGUACUUUAAUAUGAAACAUGCAUCUGCAAGAAAAUGUCAUUGAGAGAUGUUUUGGAUUGCUUAAGAUUAGAUGGUCAAUCUCGAAGAACACGUCAUUUUUCCCAAUAACAACACAGUGCCGAAUAAUUACAGCGUGUUGUAUUUUGCAUAAUUUGAUUCCGCGAGAAAAGUCUCUAGAUCCAGCGGAAAUUGAGCUUGAUAGACAAGUGGAUGCUGCAGAAGAUACUCAUCACACAAUAAUGAAUAUCAUGAAAUAAUUGAUAUUGUUGAAGCCUCAACUCAAUGGACUGAAUGGAGAAACACUUUAGCUAUGCAAAUGUAUAAUGAAUGGAGGCUACAUAGAGGGCUUUAAUGGUAGAGGUUCUUAGUCUUGCAUGUAUGGACAAACUUUGCUUACUUAUUGUUUGUAUUAGACACAUUAAUUUGAAUGUAUUCUUACUUGCUUUUUGUUGUCAUUUAACUUUGUUUGUAUUGGACGCAUUGAUCUUAGUUAUUCAAUUUUAUUUUGUCUUUGAAA